rnacentral:rRNA from 1 species
CUACGGGGGGCACCAGUGGGGAAUAUUGCACAAUGGAGGAAACUCUGAUGCAGCAACGCCGCGUGGAGGAUGACACUUUUCGGAGCGUAAACUCCUUUUAUAUAGGAAGAAGAUGACGGUACUAUAUGAAUAAGCGCCGGCUAACUCCGUGCCAGCAGCCGCGGUAAUACGGAGGGCGCAAGCGUUACUCGGAAUCACUGGGCGUAAAGAGCGUGUAGGCGGAUUAAAAAGUCAGAAGUGAAAUCCUAUAGCUUAACUAUAGAACUGCUUCUGAAACUCUUAAUCUAGAAUGUGGGAGAGGUAGAUGGAAUUUCUGGUGUAGGGGUAAAAUCCGUAGAGAUCAGAAGGAAUACCGAUUGCGAAGGCGACCUACUAGAACAUUAUUGACGCUGAGACGCGAAAGCGUGGGGAGCAAACAGGAUUAGAUACCCCCGUAGUC